GUAUGUCUAGAGUGGGGGUGAUUAGACUACUUGAGAAGAUAAAAAUUUAGCCUUUUACCAAUUUUAGUUGAGGGGCAGUUUUGGCAGUUAUGGGAAGUCAAGUACACCCUACACAUGCAGUUCUAAGAGUGUAGUAGCAGAAUGUAAAACAUGCAAUUGUAAAUUAAAGGAGUAAGGUAGGGAGAUCAAACGCAUGAGGUUGACACGGCGAUAUUUGGCAUGGUUCUGAUAGGUGGCACUAUCGUACGUCCAUGUU
rnacentral:lncRNA from 1 species